rnacentral:rRNA from 1 species
ACGCUGGCGGCGUGCUUACACAUGCAAGUCGUACGAGAACUCCUUAGCUUGCUAAGGAAAGUAAAGUGGCGUACGGGUGAGUAACGCGUGGGUAAUCUACCCCAUAAUUUGGGAUAACAUUGCGAAAGCGAUGCUAAUACCGAAUAAUAUCUGAUAACUACGGUUUUUCAGAUCAAAGGUGGCCUCUAUAUAUAAGCUACUGUUUUGGGAUGAGCCCGCGUACCAUUAGCUUGUUGGUAGGGUAAUGGCCUACCAAGGCUACGAUGGUUAGCUGGUCUGAGAGGAUGAUCAGCCACACUGGAACUGACACACGGUCCAGACUCCUACGGGAGGCAGCAGUGAGGAAUUUUGCGCAAUGGGGGAAACCCUGACGCAGCAACGCCGCGUGAGUGAUGAAGGCUCUUGGGUCGUAAAGCUCUGUUAAGUGGGAAGAACCAAAAAAUGUAAAUAUCAUUUUUUCUGACGGUACCACUAGAGGAAGCACCGGCUAACUCCGUGCCAGCAGCCGCGGUAAUACG